ensembl:lncRNA
UUUUUUUUUUUUUUUUUUCUUUUUUUCUGUUUCUUUUUUUGGUGACUUGGGUUCUGGGACACUGGCAUCGGGCUUAGAGCUUCCCUCAGAGGCUGUAACUACACGACUGUUAGGAUUUGUUUUUUAAAAAUAAUUUGGAAGCAGGCUGCUAACAAGCUAGAAUUCACUGUGUGUUUCCUGGCAGAGAAUUUGCUACACUGCUUCGUCUUCUUUUUUUUUUUUUUAAUCCCCUCCUUUCUUCCUUGUGUUUUAAAAGAACACGGAGAGGGGACAUGUAGCAUCCUUCUAAGCGGGAAGAGAGAAGGGCGUGGGCUUUCUCCUCAACUUGUGUAUGUUUCGUCCUUCUGUAAAAGCUGAACAUCCUUUCAAGAAUCAUCUGGAACGGUACAGAGCAGAUGUGAAAAAAUUUCAAGAGCAGAAUUGUUUUCCUCUCGUCUGUGUGCUCAUGGAGGUCCUUUGUGAGUGUACAGAUUCCUGGUUUUCAUAAGCACUGCCUCUUAAGCAUGGUUUUCUGCUUUCUGAGGUUCUAGCUAAGACAGCCCAACUGAAGCCCCUCCUCCCGGUGCCCCCCAGUUCCUGGCCUGAGAAGACCCUGAAAUCACGUGGGGUGGUGGUCUCCAGACCAUGACCUCUCAGGUCACUCAGAUUUUCCUGAGAUCUGUGUGCCACAUGUGCUUUGCCUGGUUGUCUCUUUAUAUCAAAUUCCUCUUUUUCUUAUACCCAUUUAAAAUUUUUUUAAAAUUUAUUUUUAUGUAUGUAUUUAGCUGUGCCCCCAGUGUGCAGAAGUUCCAGGCCAGGGAUUGAAGCUGUGCCACAGCGGCAACCCGAGCCACUGCAGUGAGAAUACCAGGUCCUUAACCCACCGCACCACCAGGGAACUCCUUCUUACAUUUAUUUUCAGAGAUAAUUUGAAGAUCACACAUGGAAGAGCAGCCUCACUGGUCUAACAAAACAAUGAUGGUACCUAGAGACAUGGAUCACUUCACAGCUGGAUCUGGGUCUUUGUCUUGGUGGAAAAGAAUGUAGAAAGUGUUGGCCGGGGGCGGGAGGGGGGUGUUACAGACACGCUGGCACCAACCAAGAUGUUCCCCACAAGAAGAGUACAGAUUUAAAGAGAACACAGUGCCAUUGAAUGUUCUGCGAUGACCUUAACUACCUAAAAUGGUCAGCUAGGAGGAUGGGUUCCAAUUUCUUGUCGUUCGGCUGAACUUACCAAGAAAGAGAAACUGUUCCUGCCUGAGCAGCUCCAUAGGGAAAGGUGUGGUGACAGCUCUUGGAAGCAGGCUGCUUUUACUGUCAGGAAGUUCUCCCAGUCAAGUCCAAGUGCCCCUCACAGCAUUUUAAAGCCUUUCCCUGUCGCCCUUUUCUCCAAAGGCGCCCUUCUGUCUUCAAAUGUGCAGCAAACCCUCAGCUUUCUCUUUUACAGUCAGUGCUUCCCUUCAUGGCUGUAAAUGACUCUCUUCAGAAGAACAACCAAGGUUAUGCUGAAGUUCAAGGGAAUGUCAUACCUUUUACAGAAACCAUUGCCUCCCUGGGGCUGCAUGUUUCUUCCUGGGCUGUCUCUGCUGUCCCACUGCAGAUCUUGGGUCACUGAGUAAUAAUAUGUAAACAUUUACAUAACACUCGUAAUCCCCAAGUACUUCACCAAAUGUGGGUGAUGAUAAUAGCAUUUGUGUGGAGUGGGCCUCCAAAGGCUUCCAAAGGCUUCGAUAAUGAAUGUUUUUCCCUUUAGAAAGUUAGUGGGGGGAAAAAAAAAACAGAUUAUAAUGAAAUAGUUUCUGUCACUACCAUGACGUCAUCCUUAUGUUGUCAGCCCACCUCUGGGGAGGCUGAGAGUCAGAUCUGGAGAAGAAAGGAGACUGGGUCCUUAACCUGCCAAGUUCAGGGUUAAUGGGUGAAAGGCGGGGAGGGACUUGGCUUUUAGUCAAAGGACCGAAGGACAAAAGCAGGCUCCUCGAUUAUGAAAUAAUAUAAUGUUUUAAAGCACUAGUCCUUCCAAAGGAUUUUUUUUUUUUUUUUGGUCUUUUUAGGGCCGUACCCACGGCAUCUGGAAGUUCCCAGGCUAGGGGUCAAAUCAAGCUGUUGCUGCCGGCCAUAGCCACAGCGACACGGGAUCUGAACCUCAUCUGUGACCCACACCACAGCUCACGGCAACACCAGAUCCUUAGCCUACUGAGUGAGGCCAGGGAUCGAACCUGAGUCCUCAUGGACACUAGUCAGAUUCGUUUCCGUUGAGCCACAGCAGGAACUACCCCCCCAGUUUUUAAAGACAGUAGAAACUUCCCUUUGGAUGAAACCCUAACCUAAGUCCAAAUGCAGAAAUGGAUAGCAGCGGGAGUUUAUCACAAGUAUUUACUGGGAACUGUUCUAAUUUCUUUAGGUGUGUUAGCUUGUUGGGUCUUCCUGAUUAACUAGUUUACAAACAUUAACUUGUUAUCAGUUGCACCCCCAUUUUGUUGAUGCAGGGAGGUCAUGUGGGUGUGCAGAUUGGGGCUCCCCGAGCUAAUCCUCAACCACACCAACGAGAUUGACUGACAGGGUGCUGCACCCCUCAGCAGAGGGGAAUACCAGGCAGGGUGCACCUGUGCAGGGGUAGCACCGGGGUUGGGAUCCAGUUGGGGUGGAGCAGAGGGUCUGCGUGAGGCUCCUGCUUCCUCUCCCAAGGCGCCCUAGAAAACCACAGCGUCCCAGGGGACACGCUUUGAAAUCCACUUCCUGAAAGUAUUUCAAAGUGAGGGAGAUAAAUGAUUUUUGAAAGGUUGUAUUGAAUCCAAAACUGGCUGAAGACUUUGCUCGUCUCUUUCUUAACAUCUUGAGGAACAAGUGUUUUCUUAAAUAUCCAGUAGCUUAAUUCCAUGCUCUAUGUCUUGCAGAUUCCCUUUUCCUCGCUCUGUCUCUAUUCUCUGAUUCCUGGAAAUCUGAUUAUCCUCAUCUGUUUUUCUUUUAGCAAGUCUCGCUUCAAGCUUACUCAGUCCUAAUGCGGUUACUGCCUGAUAAAGAUUCUCUCCCCUUCUGUUUGUCCCAGAUGUUUCGUCUAUCUUAUUUGCCAGCUCUUUCCUUCUCCUCUAAUGGGUAAGGUCUCCCUUUAAGAAACUGAAACGAGUAAUUAGAAAUACCUCCUACUUCUGUAGCAGAAGCUUCCCAGGUCUGGGUGAUAUGCCGGUCUUAAAGCUGGCAUGUGGAAUGAACUCAGAAACUCCAGCUUUUGUUCCUGACCCUAGAAAUCGAAUCCAGCUUUGCAUCGUUUUUGUAGCAAUGAUGCCAGACAAGCGUUGCCAGAUAAAUACAGCGCACUCUGUUAAGCUUGGCUUUUAGGGACACAAUAAGGACAUUUUUAGUGCCCCACCCCCCGAUUUUGCAGGAGGCUUACGUAUACUAAAAAAUGAUUUGCUUUUUAUCUGAAUUUACACUUUACUUCCUGUGUUUUAAUUUGGUAAACCUGGCAAACUUAUGCUAGAUGGACUUUUGAUUUUAAAUCAAAAGAGAAACAUUGCAGAUGAUUCUUUUCCAUUUUUGGAGACCUGGAAAGGCAUUCUGAUGUCACUGACGGUGUCAGGGGUUUGGAACAGGCCUCCCUAAGCUGUGCCACUUUGUUGUUUCUUUUUCGGUCACACCUGCGGCGGGUAGGAAGCUCCCCGGCCAGGGAUGGAAUCCAAGACACAACUCUGCAACCUACGCCACAGCUGCGGCAGUGCUGGAUCUUUAACCCACUGGGCCGGAUUAUUUUGAGUUAAAGGCAAUUGAGACCCCAUGGGCUAAGGAGAAACUACUGCUCCUCCCUCAACUACCGAGAAGAAUUUAAAUGGGGGACUCUUCUGAGAAAAAUUCUUAUGGAGUCCCGUGGUGUCACCGGGGGUUAAGGAUCGGCAUUGUUGCUGCAGUAGCACAGGUUCAAUCUUGGGCCCCAGAACUUCUGCAAGCCAUGGGCGUGGCGGAAAAACAAAAGCACUAACAAGACACCUAAAAAAUGGAUAUUACCAGAGAUAAGUUGUAUCUAAGUGGCCCCAUCCAUAUGGCAGGACAAACACCUAAUGACCAGACAUCUGGCCUUCUCAUCCUGUGAAUGACCCUUCUGUCUUUGGAAGCUGCAGCGCCCUAUCCACGCCUCACUACACCUGUCCGUCUCUGACCCUCAUGUCUGCGGGGUUCCCCUAUGCGCGAAAUUACAUUUUAUUUUCUCCCAUGCAUCUGUCUCAGGUUUAUCUAAUUCUUGGACCAGCUGGAAGAACCUUUAAUAAGGGUAGAAGACAACUAGGCACCAUAAUGCAUUUACUGAAAUGUUCCUAAAGCAUUUUUUACUGUCUUAGGUGUUUAAGCCAAACAUAAAAAGCCCCAUUGGAGGCUGCUUUUUCCACAAAGCAGAAGUGUGAUGAAAGGAUGCCUGUAUCUUCCAGUAGCCAGGCAGCCCCCUUGUCUUUCAGACUGGUAAGUUGAUUGCACUUUGAAGUGUUGGUAACUUUGAUAACGUUCAGAAGCACCAAAGCAGGUGUUUUGUAAAAUUUGGGCACAUCUCUAUGUGAUCUUUCUUUUAAACAGAGUGACUUGGCAGAUAACACAGCUGUUUGUAUCCUCUAAUUUUUGCACCAAGCAUCAGCGUCUGCUGUACAAAAUCUGCACCUGAAAUAGUUAACCAUUACUCUUCAGUUACAUAAAAUGUGUCUCCUACAUAUCCUCCCAUUAACAGUGUCUACAGAGACCAGCUUCCAAAGAUGGCAGGUUUUCUUUUUUUCAUCUUUUUUUUUUUUUUUAAAUAAAUGAAUGUAACUUUAAUGGAAUUUCAAGAGCUUUCGUGUUUGGUUCCCAACACCAGAUACAAUGAAAAGCCCAUGAACAAAGAUAGAUGUUUUGGUGCUUUGUCAAUGAUUGGAGAAUCACUAUUAUAGAAACUAAAAAAAAAAAAAAA